rfam:Shigella flexneri 2a str. 301 virulence plasmid pCP301, complete sequence.
AGAGGUGGGCCCUCCGGUCAGGGUUUACAGGAGCACAGACCAAACGACCCGGUGCUGCUUCAUUCUAAGGAAUGAGGUGGUGAGCGACUCCGGGAAAAGGCAGAGAUCUACUGUCACG